rnacentral:rRNA from 1 species
UACGAAGGGUGCAAACGUUGCUCGGAAUUAUUGGGCGUAAAGCGCACGUAGGCGGCCCAGCAAGUCGGAAGUGAAAUCCCACGGCUCAACCAUGGAAGUGCUUUCGAAACUGCUGGGCUUGAGUACAAAAGAGGAUCGCGGAAUUCCCGGUGUAGAGGUGAAAUUCGUAGAUAUCGGGAGGAACACCAGUGGCGAAGGCGGCGAUCUGGGAAGAUACUGACGCUGAGGUGCGAAAGCGUGGGAGCAACAGGA